rnacentral:tRNA from 1 species
UUUCCUGUGGCUCAGUUGGUAAAGCGUUGUGCCAACAACACAAAGGUUGUGAGUUCAAAUCCUAGGGAAA